rnacentral:rRNA from 1 species
UGCCAGACUCCUACGGGAGGCAGCAGUGAGGAAUAUUGGUCAAUGGGCGAGAGCCUGAACCAGCCAAGUCGCGUGAGGGAGUACUGCCCUAUGGGUUGUAAACCUCUUUUGUCGGGGAGCAAAAGCCGGACGUGUCCGUCUGUGAGAGUACCCGAAGAAAAAGCAUCGGCUAACUCCGUGCCAGCAGCCGCGGUAAUACGGAGGAUGCGAGCGUUAUCCGGAUUUAUUGGGUUUAAAGGGUGCGUAGGCGGGACGGUAAGUCAGCGGUAAAAAGGCGGAGCUCAACUCCGUCGAGCCGUUGAAACUGCCGUUCUUGAGUGAGCGAGAAGUAUGCGGAAUUCCUAGUGUAGCGGUGAAAUGCGUAGAUAUUAGGAGGAACACCAGUGGCGAAGGCGGCCUGCUGGACAGAAACUGACGUUGAGGCUCGAAAGCGUGGGGAGCAAACAGGAUUAGAUACCCCUGUA